GGGCCUGUAGCUCAACGGUUAGAGCAGGGGACUCAUAAUCCCUUGGUUGGGGGUUCAAAUCCCUCCGGGCCCA
rnacentral:tRNA from 4 species